GACGAACGCUGGCGGCGUGCCUAAUACAUGCAAGUUGAGCGCUGAAGGUUGGUACUUGUACCAACUGGAUGAGCAGCGAACGGGUGAGUAACGCGUGGGGAAUCUGCCUUUGAGCGGGGGACAACAUUUGGAAACGAAUGCUAAUACCGCAUAAAAACUUUAAACACAAGUUUUAAGUUUGAAAGAUGCAAUUGCAUCACUCAAAGAUGAUCCCGCGUUGUAUUAGCUAGUUGGUGAGGUAAAGGCUCCCCAAGGCGAUGAUACAUAGCCGACCUGAGAGGGUGAUCGGCCACAUUGGGACUGAGACACGGCCCAAACUCCUACGGGAGGCAGCAGUAGGGAAUCUUCGGCAAUGGACGAAAGUCUGACCGAGCAACGCCGCGUGAGUGAAGAAGGUUUUCGGAUCGUAAAACUCUGUUGGUAGAGAAGAACGUUGGUGAGAGUGGAAAGCUCAUCAAGUGACGGUAACUACCCAGAAAGGGACGGCUAACUACGUG
rnacentral:rRNA from 1 species